GCUAGGCAUGGUGGCGCAUGCCUGUAAUCCCAGCUACUCAGGAGGCUGAGGCAGGAGAAUCGCUUAAACCUGGGAGGCGGAGGUUGCAGUGAGCCGAGAUCGCGCCACUGCACUCCAGCCUGGGUGACAGAGCGAGACUCUGUCUCAA
rfam:Homo sapiens chromosome 17, GRCh38 reference primary assembly.